rnacentral:rRNA from 1 species
UCAGGACGAACGCUGGCGGCGUGCUUAACACAUGCAAGUCGAACGGUGAACCUGCUUCGGUGGGGGAUCAGUGGCGAACGGGUGAGUAACACGUGGGCAACCUGCCCCCAGCUCUGGGAUAACUCCAAGAAAUUGGUGCUAAUACCGGAUGUGACCGCUGACCGCAUGGUCUGGUGGUGGAAAGAUUCAUCGGCUGGGGAUGGGCCCGCGGCCUAUCAGCUUGUUGGUGGGGUGAUGGCCUACCAAGGCGACGACGGGUAGCCGGCCUGAGAGGGUGACCGGCCACACUGGGACUGAGACACGGCCCAGACUCCUACGGGAGGCAGCAGUGGGGAAUAUUGCGCAAUGGGCGAAAGCCUGACGCAGCGACGCCGCGUGAGGGAUGACGGCCUUCGGGUUGUAAACCUCUUUCAGUAGGGACGAAGCGCAAGUGACGGUACCUACAGAAGAAGCACCGGCCAACUACGUGCCAGCAGCCGCGGUAAUACGUAGGGUGCAAGCGUUGUCCGGAAUUAUUGGGCGUAAAGAGCUCGUAGGCGGUCUGUCGCGUCGGCUGUGAAAACCCGAGGCUCAACCUCGGGCCUGCAGUCGAUACGGGCAAACUAGAGUACUGCAGGGGAGACUGGAAUUCCUGGUGUAGCGGUGAAAUGCGCAGAUAUCAGGAGGAACACCGGUGGCGAAGGCGGGUCUCUGGGCAGUAACUGACGCUGAGGAGCGAAAGCGUGGGGAGCGAACAGGAUUAGAUACCCUGGUAGUCCACGCCGUAAACGUUGGGCGCUAGGUGUGGGGGCCA